rnacentral:miRNA from 1 species
UACAGUUACUUGGAUAGAUUUACACAGUGAGCCAAGUGUGGCAUGUACCUGUAGUUCCUGCUACUCAGGAGGCUGAGGCAGGAGGAU